rnacentral:rRNA from 1 species
UACGAAGGGGGCUAGCGUUGCUCGGAAUCACUGGGCGUAAAGGGUGCGUAGGCGGGUCUUUAAGUCAGGGGUGAAAUCCUGGAGCUCAACUCCAGAACUGCCUUUGAUACUGAAGAUCUUGAGUUCGGGAGAGGUGAGUGGAACUGCGAGUGUAGAGGUGAAAAUUCGUAGAUAUUCGCAAGAACACCAGUGGCGAAGGCGGCUCACUGGAACGGUACUGACGCUGAGACGCGAAAGCGUGGGGAGCGAACAGG